ensembl:lncRNA
CAGAAAGGUGCUCUCAGCUCCAACACCACACCAUGCCUGCUCUGCUGCUGCGCCUCCUGCCUUCGUCUGCCUUCGUGGUCGUGCGGUCGGUCGUGGACUAAGCCUUUGAAACCAAGCCAGAAGAGAGCUUCAAGAACUAGAGUCACCGAUGUUCGCGAGCCGUCCCAUAUCGAUGCUGGGAACUGGACCCAAGAUCAAGCUACUUCUGGUUUGAUAAGCCACGCUGGACAACCCGUAAGCUUCUGGGGCUUCUCCUCCCUCCCUACUACUUCACCAUAGGAGCACGAGACUGCAGACCUGUGUUCCCAUGCCUGUUUUUGUACGUAUGUGUGUCACAUGUGUGUUCCCACGCUUAUUUUUGUGUGUGGCUUCUGGGGAUUUGAACUCAGAUCCUCACACUUCCCUGGCAAGUGCUUUAUGCCCUGAUCCAGCUCCCUAGCCUUCAGAACGAACCUUUAAACACAGACCUUGUCCAACCAAACAACAGAGCCUAAAUCCAUAUACUUAUUACAUAAAUAACAAAAAGCUCUGAAAAAGAUGCAAAUUGCAAAAUAUAUAUUCACUGGUGCCGGGUCCAUUUUUAGAUGUGGAUUAUGCUUUUCCACUUGUUAGUUAAAUAAGGUAUAAUUCAUUUUUCUGAGCUUGCACUUGCUCAUCUAUAAACUAUUAAUUACAAAAGUAAGGAUGCACACAGAUAUUAUUAAGAUUAAUAAGAAAAAUAAAACCAAUGUGCAGCACUUAUUCCAUUAUUUCAUUCUCCUUUCUUGAAACAUUACUAUACAGCCCUCAGCAGCCUACGGGACUGAAAGCAGGACUAAAGGAGAAUGCCAUGCUAAUAAUCCAGAGGGAAAGAGAGCACACACACUUCGCAGUGCCUCCCCAUUUUCCCCAUGGGCAUGAUGCUAUGUGACAUCCAUAUGACUGUUGUUGCAUUUUUGAAUGAAGUGUAGAGACAGCGGCUCUGAAUCUGGAGGUGGGCCCUGUAGCACAGAGGUAUAUAGAAGAGGGGUGUGCCUAGGGUUUGAUGCUAUUAUAACAACAAUUGUGAAGUCCCUUAACCACAACCUCAGUGUCUAGCAGGAGAGUUUCAGGGUAUGACUUAGUUGAUUUGUAUGGCCCUUUGGUCCUUGGGACUUUUUCUAAGCCAUGGUUUGUUUUUUCAUUAGUUCCUAAGGUUAACCUAACAACUAAGCAGGCCCAUGUGGGUUUUCUUUGAAGAAGGCUAGACAAAAAGAGAAGUCCUAGGUGAUUUCUAGUUCAGUGCAUAUCUAGAAUCGACAGAAAAUGGUUCUUCCUGGAACCUUUUGCAUUAAAGGCCUUGAGGAAAAGACUUCGCUCUUGUCUUUCAUAGUUUCUUUGUCAUGCCAACAAGAACUGUAGCUCAUUACUCAAUUUACUAACAAGGGAUGGUCUCAAGGGAUGGGCUAGCGGCCUUAGUCAGACUUAUGAGAACCAAGGAGAGGUUGCUGAAGUAUAAUGAGUGGGGGAUAAAUUGUUUUCUGCCCAUUUGUGUGUCUUUUUCUAAUCGAAGAAAGAAUUUCACAUGUAAGGAUUGGGG